ACACACCGCCCGUCACACCAUGAGAGUCGAUAACACCCGAAGCCUGGUGAGCUAACCUUUAGGAGGCAGCAGUCGAAGGUGGGGUUGAUGAUUGGGGUGAAGUCGUAACAAGGUAAC
rnacentral:rRNA from 1 species